rnacentral:rRNA from 1 species
UACGUAGGGACCAAGCGUUGUUCGGAUUUACUGGGCGUAAAGGGCGCGUAGGCGGCUUGUCAAGUCACUUGUGAAAUCUCUGGGCUUAACCCAGAACGGCCAAGUGAAACUGACAUGCUAGAGUGCAGAAGGGGCAAUCGGAAUUCUUGGUGUAGCGGUGAAAUGCGUAGAUAUCAAGAGGAACACCUGAGGUGAAGACGGGUUGCUGGGCCAACACUGACGCUGAGGCGCGAAAGCCAGGGGAGCAAACGGG